GCCUUGAUGGUGAAAUGGUAGACACGCGAGACUCAAAAUCUCAUGCUGAAGAGCGUGGAGGUUCGAGUCCUCUUCAGGGCA
rnacentral:tRNA from 1 species